GUCAGGAGUUUGACCUUACCUGAGCAUUCUGGUGGGGAACCACUGAUGACUUGAAGCGAGAAUAAGGUACAGCAAUCAGAUUGAAAUUUUAGUAAUGAGAGUGACAAUUGAUCCUUACCGGACACUCAGCAAAAGCCAGACCCCGUGUAGAGAAGUGUGGCCCGGUGGCGUGCCGCAGUGAUCUGUGAGGCGGGUACUGCUGUGCUCAUUUCUCAGCCGAAGAAAGGGCAGGAGGGGUCGGCUAGCCCUGGGCACGUGCAGAGCGGGCCUUGGACCUAGGCACCCCUAGGCACUGGGCGGUGGCCUCCCCCUGGUAGAAAACCCGGUCUGGUAGCAAGGGAGCUAGGGGGGCUGCAGGGAGAUGGGCUGCAUGAGGGGAACCGGCUCCAGCAGGCUAAGGAGCGGGGGCUCCAGGCUGAUGGGAAGUUGAGGGUAGGUGAGGGGACCCCAGAAGCUGGUAUGUCCUGCAGGUCUCUGAGCUGAGGUUUUAUUACUUAAUUAGGAAACGUCUCAAGCACAGAAACGAGAAUUGUAUCCUCAACGCCCUUUGCACCCCACCCACUUAGAACAAGUACCAAAAGUUUGCUGCAUCUUCUUUACCUAUGGAUCCCCCUUCUUUCCUCGAAUGACCUCUCACCCCUGCCCACUUGAGAGUGCUUUUCCUACAGAACCACACAGUAAGUAAGUGCCUUCCUUAGCACAGCUGCCAAAAUAAAGGAUUUCACAUAGGACCCAGUCUGUGAUCAGAGGUGCCCAACUGCCUCAGAAACGGCCCUUCACCGUUGGUCCGUGAGGCUCCUCGGCGCGCAGGGUCUGCGCUCCGGUCUGUCUUGUGUGCACAGCACCUGUUGGCUUUUCCCCGCGGCUUUGACGCAGCAGAAACAGUGACAAGGGAUCAGAUAAAGGAAGCCGUUGUUCGUGUCGCGUGUACAAAGUUUGAGGAAUGUUUGACGUUCACUGUCCCGGUGGUGUAUCUGGGAGGUACAUGGAGCCCUGGAGAGAUCUGAGCGUGGGUAGCCGUACAGAAUCCUGAAGAAUGAGCAGAGGCGCCACGCACUGGGUGCUUGCUGGGUAUCCAGGACCUGGCGGGUGCUGUUACUAAAGCCCUAAUCCAAGCUGACCCUACUCUUCAGCCGUGUGACUCUGGGCAAGUUACCUAACUCCUCUCGGGGCUGAUGUUCCCAUCUGGGGGAUGAAGACCCCGCCUUUGCAGGGGAGCGUUAAGGGCCCGGGGCGAUAUCGUGUGCAUGGGCUCAGCUCGUCUCAGGCACGCGGUGAUCGCAGGUAGGGGGUUGCUGCUGAGUCCCGGGCUUGGAGUUGUCGUUAACAAAGGCACACUGCUCUUACAAGUGAUUGUCUCUAACCCCGUGUGCGCCAGCUUCAUGAUGGGAUUCCCGGUGCAUCAAAGAGGCAGUUGGUGAACAGAACAUCAGACACGAACGUGAAGCUUGGCGGAGCUCUGAAAUGCUGAAUUUCAGGACUUGCCAUUUAUUUAUUUAUUUAUUUAUUUAUUUAUUUAUUUAUUUAUUUUUAUUAUUUUUUUAAACUAACAUCUUUAUGAAACUGAAAAUGGUAUGCAUUCUUUUUUUUUUUUUUAAGACUUUAUUUAUUUAUUUGAGAGAGAGAAUGAGAGACAGAGAGCAUGAGAGGGAGGAGGGUCAGAGGGAGAGGCAGACUCCCCGCCGAGCAGGGAGCCCGAUGCGGGACUCGAUCCAGGGACUCGAUCCAGGGACUCGAUCCAGGGACUCCAGGACCAUGACCUGAGCCGAAGGCAGUCGCUUAACCAACUGAGCCACCCAGGCGCCUGAGGACUUGCCAUUUAUGUGGGAAAUGCUCAUCUCUUUAUCUCUCUGGCCUGUUCUGAUGGGCCAGGAUGGGGCCACUGACUGUGCAUUGUGCGGACAAGGUAGACCCUAAGUGGAGGGUUUGGGUCUGUUGGUGGAUACAAAAUGCAGAUUCUUCAUGAACCCCGGUGCUGGCCUAUCUGGAAUCAGAUCCAGCAGGUUUGGAGCCUACUAGCAGUUUUCAGAAGUUCCCAGAUACAGUCACAUCUCCCGCUGAAAUGUAGGCAGGACAGGUAUCAUGACCUCCAUCACAUAAUGAAGGAGCUGGAGGUCAGAGAGACGAAGUCAUUUGCCCAAAGCCAUAUGGCCAGUAAAUUGGCAAGUCGGAACUAGAAGUCAGAACCAGUGUUCUUUCCAAGGCCCCAACAUUUCCUAAGAUGUGUGGGAAGAACAUUUCUGAAGGAGAUUAAUAAAUGCUCCAUUAAAGACAAAUUCUGUUAAUAAUUGGCUUGGGAAAUACUAGAAAUAAAUACAUACAUACAUACAUAAAAGGUUAAAUGGGGAUCUUGUUGAAGGAGCUCUCAGAGCCUCCCUGAGUGUUCCAGGGACUCUGCGGGGAGGAACGGACUUGACCUGGCUUCUUCAGCACAAACCACACAGGCCCAAGGAGCUGCACGGUGACCUCCCCCCCAGCCCAUUCCCCUGGGCCCCGAGGAAGCAUCAAUACCUCCCCAAUCCCCUCUGUCCCCUGUCAAUGUGGAUGGGCCCUGGGGUGAAGGAUGUGGGCCAGGAAGUGCCCUGGGAGCACAAGGACACACCUGACCCUGAGCCCAUCACAGCACACAGCUUCCACGGCCAGUUACAGGUGUACCCACAGGUCUUCCGAAGAGCCUUUCUGCUGGGGGCACAUAACUAUGACAGUGUAUCCUCUGGCACCUUGACUAAGGUAAGGCAUCUCUCCUUUAAACCCAUCCAGUUCCCACGUGGCAGUUGGCUGGCUCUGCCUGGCACGGGGCUUGGGAAAGCUAACAAGAGAUGCAGGGCGGUGGGGGGCAGCCAGGGUGAGCACACAGUAGUGAAACACUGAAUGAAUGAAUGACCAGAUCCCUGGGUCGACCAGGCUUGAGGACCGGGCAGGCCAGGGCUCCGUGGUCCCCUCCUCCCCUCCAGCUCCCACAGCUCACCCUGCCCUUGGCGCGGCCCCAGAGCCAGCACAGUUCCCCAUUCACCGUGUUCCCACCUUCGAUUAUGGAGAUACGGUGGCAGAGAGAGCGGGGCGGACAAAGGACCACUUGUUCGUACAAUGGAGAAGGGGCCUUUUAGAAAGUGGCGGCUAUUGCUUGCAGAAGGAAUCCUGUGGGAAGGGAGCCCUCUGUAUUCUUUCCAGCUUUUCUUAUAUAUAAAAAGGAAGGGUGAGCUCAGCUCAGGUUGGAUUGAAAACGGAUCCCUCGAUCACAGGUGUAUAGGAAUCAUGAUCCUCCCUCUCCCCGCCCGCUACAAGAGUGUCCUGCCUGGAAAUCACAGAUAACUGGGGAUGGCUGGAGACUUGAGGGAGCUUCAGUGUCGGAGGUCAAACUCCAGUGUUCAAGGGGCCUGACCGUGCAUGAGCUGAAGGUAUUACAUUCAUCUCUAAGCAGAGAGAUGGGCUCAUCACUGGAGAGAAGAUCAGAAGGGAGAUAGGUAACCAGAUUUCCCUGUUCUGAACAUUUGGAUAUAUGGAAUCAUACAACAUGUGGCCUUUCGUGUCUGACUUCUUUCACUUAGCAUCAUGUUUUCAAGGUUCUGCCAUGUUGUAGCAGGUGACAGGAAUCCAUUCCUGUUUGUGGCAGGAUAACAUUUUACUGUAUGGAUAUACUACAUUUUGUUUAUGCAUUCAUCAGUGGAUGGACAUAUCUCGAUAGACUUUGUACCCCUGUGGGUCAUGGGAUUGCAGGAAAGAAAAGAUUCUCCAUGCCUGCCUUUCAAAAGAAGAGAAGGAAAGCCCACUGAGAGGCAUAGACUGGAGUGCUGGUACCUAUUUGUUGAGUGACAGAGAGCAAAGGAUCCAAUGAUGGUGAUCGAGGUUUCAAAGGAUCUUCUGGCUGCACAUGUUUGCAGGGACAUUUCUACCUGCUUGGCUGUCUUUUGCACCUUUUGUUUGGUCAUCACGGUCUCAGCCAAUGGUCCCAGGGGUGGCUUAGACAACACAAAGCACCACUCCUGACACUUGAACUGAUGAAUUCCAUUAGACCGUUGUACUCUGAUCCCAGGAUGAAGCAAAGAAAGACUGCUGUUGCAAUGCAGAGGUAGUCAUAAAUGCUGAAAAUAGCCUUUUACCAAGGGUUGUGUUGGUGGAGUCCCCCUCAGUGAUUAGGUGUGAGCACCCUGGCCAAAUUCCAGCAACGAGUAAGACAUUAGAAAGUGAAACACAAAAACGAAUGGGGAUCAGAUGCUUUAUCAUUGUAGUCAUUGGUCUGUGGAGGUCCUGCUGGGCACCGGGCCCUGAGUGGUCUGUGCUUGGAAGACGUCAGGAGGACCAAGGAAACAUCGGGAGGUCAGCGGAAUGCCUCGCCCAUGGACUCUGGAGGGGGCAAUACUUCAGGGUCCAGUGGGUUCAACUUUCAUCACUCAGAUCCUGUAUUUUGCUUAGGAGGCUCAGUCAGGCCGGGAUCCUGAAGGAUGUGGGCACCAGGACCGCAGCAUGGGAGUCCUCCAGACGCCCGCCUGCGGCUCGGUGGCCUGUGGGACCGGCGGGCCGGGGUCUGCAGCCCGGGCUGGGGAGAACCCGGCAGAGCGGCGGUUCUCGGCGUUUCCAGAUUUCUCUCUCAACAGGCUCUACCUGGAACUUGCCCCGCCCCCAGCUGCAGAGCAGGCACCGGGCUGAGCCGGGCCAGGGCGGGCAGGCGGCCUGGGGACCACAGAGCCACAAGCCACAGGGAGCAGCCAGCCUUCAUGCCGACUCUGAGCUCGUCCUUGUCCCCGGGGAGGUGAGGGAUCCUGCAGAAUCCUCUGGUUGUCAGACUCUGAUGUGUCCAGUGGACACAGGCUUUUGGCUACAAAAUUUGAGUGGAGAAAAAAAAACAGAGAAAGCUGGAGAAACGCUGGGCAACCACUGGCCUCUGGAGCUGGAUGCAGAAUGGAUUCUUAGAUGGAGAAGAGACAGGGGAGAGAGACAGACAGACAGACACCAGACACCAACCUGAAUUGGAAAGAACAUAGGCCAGUGUUGCCCGCUGGGAACUGACAUCACAAAUAGAGUGUGGGUGAAUUAUAAAGAAGUCCGGGGCUCACCAGAACCUUUCAGCCUCCAGACCAGAGAAGGAGCGAAGGGCGGGAGUGAAGCCGACCUCUCCCGGGAAGAUGGAAGGAACUGCUCAUGUGGAAGGUGCCAGGCAAACGGCGGGAGCCGCGGCUCGCCCUUGGGCCCUCCCUAGCUGCCUCUGAUAUAAAGCGGUGGGAAAGGAACCUCGGAGGAGAGAAGAAAGUGUCCGCGAAACUGCAUCUUGUCCCACCCGAAUUGGUGUGCAGAGCAGAGCCAGGCUCCCGUUUGCUCACGAGCAAAGGGCACCAGGAAAGGGCGGGGCCUACCGCGAGCUCCACGCCGCGAAUCCCAGCUCCUCCUCCCGAGCGCCGCGCAGCGGGCGAGGCGGGAGCCCCCUGGGCCCCGCGCCGCUGAGCGCGCGCCCGGGAACCAGAGCCCAGACGGUCGCGGUCCCUGAUCUCGGACCCGGGCCCGACCCGCUGUCCUCUGUGGGUCCCCGGGAGCGGCCGCGGGGCUAGGAGAUCCGGCGGAGAUCCCGCGAAGCCCGGGCAAAGCCGGGGCGGGGGGGGGGGGGUCGGGAGGGGGGGGACCCUCCGUUCAGGGCGGAAAGGCCCUUGGCAAGGGUGCGCCCCAGCCCAGGCGCGGUACGUACGAUCCCUGCUUCCAAAACUGUCUGUCCGAGACAACUUCCCUCUCCUUCAUCGCCGCCCCGUCUGAGUCUCGCUCCGGACUCGGUGGCAGCGGGGGAGAGGGAGGACCUUUGGGAGCGCGGCUCUGUUUGCGUCUGAGUCCGCGGCAGGUGCUUCGGGGAGACAGCCGCCCUUGGGGGGCAGGAGGCCCUCCCCCAACAGUCCAGAGGCUAGAAGUCACCACGCCAGCCGAGACAGGGACGGAUGGGGACAGGUACGAAUGAACAGCAGGUUUGUUAAGUUACCCGGAGCUCCCUGGAAGGAAAACUCUGUUCUGUUCCAAAUGCACAUUAUUUGAGCUUCCUCUUCAUGGCUGCGUCACCCCCAGCCUCUUUGCUGCUGUCAGUGGAGGGACUGGAGAAAGAUGGCUCCUUGAUCACCUUCUGUACCCAAGGCACGGGGAGACCCUGGGUACACAAGACGGUUAAGACAUAAUUUAUCUCCCACAGAUGCUCACAGCCUGGACAGGUACAUGAACUAUAAACUAAUAAGGACCAUGCGUGCGUCAAGUGCUAUAAAAAUGCACUUAACAAGGAUUUGGGAACAGGGGGGAAGGAGCCCAGGAGUGCCCAGGAACAAAGAAAUGGUCCCUGCGUGAUUCUGACAGGCUUUCAACAUCUGGAGCCGACCGUGAUUGCUACCGUGCUCUGACUAGGUAGCAAACAACUUCCUCAUUUUAUGACUCUUUAAUUCUGAUUCAUAUUCUCAGGUUUUGCGAUGCUGGCAGAACAUAUAGUCUAAAACUGUAUCUUAAUCCCACUUACCCAGAUUUUUCUCCUGAUACAUCAUUAAAACAUCUUUUUACCCAGCACAUGCUUGGUGUCACCAUUAACUUAUAUUCUGUAUGACGUGCCUUUCAAUUCCAAAAGCAAUCCUUUCGUAUAAAUAUUCCUGCAGAUCAUUAAGUCUGGUACUCUGGCACUAGGCAUAAUUGGAGGAUGAAUCCAAUAAUUUCAAACAAACAGUUCCAACACCUAUCCAUACAACAUUUGAGAUC